rnacentral:rRNA from 1 species
UACGAAGGGGGCUAGCGUUGCUCGGAAUCACUGGGCGUAAAGCGCACGUAGGCGGACUCUUAAGUCGGUGGUGAAAUCCUGGAGCUCAACUCCAGAACUGCCUUCGAUACUGGGAGUCUCGAGUCCGGGAGAGGUGAGUGGAACUGCGAGUGUAGAGGUGAAAUUCGUAGAUAUUCGCAAGAACACCGGUGGCGAAGGCGGGUCUCUGGGCCGAUACUGACGCUGAGGAGCGAAAGCGUGGGGAGCGAACAGG